AGUGUGUGGUGUGUGUGAUGUGUGUGUGGUGUGUGUAUGAUGUGUGUGUGGUAUAUGAGUGUGUGAAAGUGUGUGGUGUGAGGUGUGAGUGUGGUGUGAGAUGUGUGAGGUGUAAGGUGUGUGUAACCAUAUAUGAGGUGUGAAGUGUGUGAGCAUGUGUGUGGUGUGAGAUGUGUGAGGUGUGUAUAUGUGUAGUGUGAGGUGAGUGGUGUGAAGUGUGAAGUGUGUGUGAGCAUGUGUGUGGUGUGAAGUGUGUGUGAUCAUGUGUGUGGUGUGAGGUGUAUGUUGUCAGGUGUGAGGUGUGUGUGUGUGUCAUGUAAGAGGUGUGUGAGAGAGCAUGAUGUCCAGGUAGUGGGUUACCUGGUCUUCAGCAGCAAUGGCAGAGGGUAGCAGUGGGAGCUUCCAGAGAGCCACAGGCCUGGUUAUGACUGGCUGGGAUGGUGGGUCCCCCCCAAGUAGCUCCACAAUAACAGUGGGCUUUUUGGUGGCCAUGAGCUCAUGAAUCCUCUCUAUGCUGUAAGAACACAAGAAAAUAUGUGGUUUGCAUUUCACAGAUUACUGUUAACAUUUUACAGAUGAGAGCUUGGAACAGCACGAAGACGUACUGACAUAAUUUACCAUAAUUUUGCAGCAUUUCUGUGCUGUAGAGUGGAACACAGACUCGCCUUUGAUCCCUUCAAGUAAUCUCAUUGCUCAUCAGUGUCGCUGCCAAGCUCCUGGAGGAAAGAGACGAUGCUAUAAACGGAAGACACAGUGCUUCUCAUUGCGCACUUGAUGAGCGGCUUGAUGGUCAUCGAUGUGUGUCCCCAGGGGAAUUUGAUUCCUAAUGACAGCUGGAGAUAAUUAAUUGCAAAUAAAAAAAAAUGGUCUGCAGCCCAGCUUUCAAGAUGAGACACUCUGUCGAUGGUAUUUCCAUGAACUUUGCAAGAUGUAUUAGUUGUGGAAUACAGGCCGUUGGAAUUUCCAGAGCCAACUUCAAGGAUGGGAUUGAAGCAGUACUUACAGAGGCCAGAACCUACCAAGGAAGAAGUGAUGUGUGAUUAUCAUAAGAGACCUGGAAUCUCCGGUUUUAAUUGUUGUAGUAAAACCAGUAGAGGUAUGACCCACGAAUUAAGCUAAAUAUUAAGUUUUUGAUUUGAACUUUUACCACAAAUGGAAAAAAAUGCUUUCAUUUUCAAUCAGUUGUAUGAAGUUAUUUGGACAUAGUCAGAUCUUUCCCCCAUCUUUCCAGUAGUAAAUUUAAUCUUCAGUUCCACAUAUAGGGAAUUGGUCUAUUCAAUAAAUUAGGCAAAUGACAACAGGAAAGUUGAAGGACAAAUAAAUAAAAGCUCAUUCUUCAGAAGGGUGACUAGAAGUACUCCUUUAUAAUUAUUAUCUGCCAUUAUUUUAUUUUACAUUAGCGUCAGGGAUAUUAUUCCAAACUGCUAUUUUUCCCUCAGUUGAUCUGGGAAUAAAGUAUUGCCCAGGACUUCUAGGCUGUGUUUAUACAAAUAUUUAGGAAAAGCCUUAAGUAGCCCUUAAGUAUGUAGAUAUAAAUUUCUCGCUAUACAACUGUGUUCUACUAAAUAUUUUUAUAAUUAUCACAUAAUGAUGGGGAAAAUACUAGUGUCUGUAGGGGGAAGGGGUGUCUGUGUGUGUGUGUGUGUGUGUGUGUGUGUGUGUGUGCAUGUGUUUCUCCUAUACUUUGAAUGUCUGUGUCCCUCAGAAAUUUAUGGCAAAACUUAAUCCCAAAUGCAAUAGUGU
rnacentral:lncRNA from 10 species